rnacentral:tRNA from 1 species
AAGGUUUUAGCUUAAUUAAAGUGUCUGUUUUGCAUACAGGACAUGUAGGUUCAAGCCCUGCAAAUCUUA